UCCAGAGGUCUCAAGCGUUGUUCGGCUUCAUUGGGCGUACAGGGUGCGUAGGUGGCUUGUUAAGUUGAAGGUGAAAUCUCGGGGCUCAACUCCGAAACUGCCUUCAAUACUGGCGAGCUCGAGGACUGUAGAGGAGAAUGGAAUUCACGGUGUAGCAGUGAAAUGCGUAGAUAUCGUGAGGAAGACCAGUGGCGAAAGCGAUUCUCUGGGCAGUUCCUGACACUGAGGCACGAAGGCCAGGGGAGCAAACGGG
rnacentral:rRNA from 1 species